UCUAUAAAUAUUUAGGUAGUAAAACAAAUUAAAACCCUAUAAAAUGGCGGUCAUAACUUAUUAAAGAAACUCGCUUUAUAAUCGUCACCCCCCGUUAAAUUUAACUUAAUUAAACAGUUUAUAUACCGCCGUUUAAGAUUACAUUUACUAAUUAUAUUCUCAUCCCUAAAUAGCCAAAAAUCAGGUCAAGGUGUAGCUCACAAUUAAGGAAAAGUAAGUUACAUUAAAAACAAUUUAAGAAUUAAUUUUCCUAAGAAAACCUGAAAAAGAAUUUAUUUGUACAUUAGGAUUAAAAAUCAAAAUAGAAUAAAAUAGUUAAAGACGC
rnacentral:rRNA from 1 species